GACGAACGCUGGCGGCGUGCUUAACACAUGCAAGUCGAACGAUGACGACCGAGCUUGCUCGGUCUGAUUAGUGGCGAACGGGUGAGUAACACGUGAGCAACCUGCCCUUCACUCUGGGAUAACCUCGGGAAAUCGGGGCUAAUACCGGAUAUGAGCUCCUGUCGCAUGGCGGGUGUUGGAAAGUUUUUCGGUGAAGGAUGGGCUCGCGGCCUAUCAGUUUGUUUGUGAGGUAGGGGCUCACCAAGGCGAUGACGGGUAGCCGGCCUGAGAGGGCGACCGGCCACCCUGGGACUGAGAGACGGCCCAGACUCCUACGGGAGGCAGCAGUGGGGAAUAUUGCACAAUGGGCGAAAGCCUGAUGCAGCGACGCCGCGUGAGGGAUGACGGCCUUCGGGUUGUAAACCUCUUUCAGCAGGGAAGAAGCGAAAGUGACGGUACCUGAAGAAGAAGCGCCGGCUAACUACGUG
rnacentral:rRNA from 1 species